GGGGGGCCCCUAGGGGGUCACGCGCCCCGGGCGCUGGAACGAGGGGGCGCUAGGGAGGCUGUUCCCGCAGCCAAACAGGAGGGCACCGCGCACGAUGCUGUCACGCAUCGAGGGAGGAGAGGGAGAGAGGACGGAGAGUCUGGCAGCGGCUGGCAGGGACUGAUGAGGGCAUGCUGGCUGCAGUCAGUGACAGUGAAUGAGUCACUGUCACUCAGGCUGCAGCACUGCAGGCUGCUCUGACAGGGGAACUUUCACGGCAGUCUCCGGCAGCCCUGAGCAGUGCACACAGCCCUCCUCCAUGCCUGGGAACAGGGGGAGGGACACAGUGCAGCAGCGUGGACUCUGAACGAGGGGGAACUGGAGCCGACCUGUUACAGAGAGAGGAGAUUUACGAGAUGGCACAGUGAAGGAAACACAUAUAGAGGAGCGAUGGGACGGCGGUCAUGUGACAGGCAAGGAGACAGGCUGACAGUAAGGUCUGCUGCUAAUGAAAUACAACUUCUAUCACUCGGGGUCCAGCCACGCUCAUAUAUAGUGGGAAUUACAAUUGAGCGACAGCCGCAGCGUUGAAUCCUGCACACUCCCACUUUUUGAUAAAACAAAGAAAAUAAUUUUCCCCAAGGAACUUGCAUUUUUUUUCUCCCCCCUCUCUUUCAAAGCAAAAUACUAUUACUUUGCUGUUCUUGAAUUGUUUCAGUCACUUCUGGCAAACAGAAAGAUAAUGACGAUAAACACUUAUGAAUGCUGCAAAAAAAAUAAUAAUAAAUUCUAUGA